rnacentral:rRNA from 1 species
UGGGAACCUUCCCUAUGGUUCGGAAUAGCUCAGGGAAACUUGGGGUAAUACCGGAUAAGCCCUUCGGGGAAAGAUUUAUCGCCAUUGGAUGGGCCCGCGUCGGAUUAGCUAGUUGGUGAGGUAACGGCUCACCAAGGCAACGAUCCGUAGCUGGUCUGAGAGGAUGAUCAGCCACACUGGGACUGAGAUACGGCCCAGACUCCUACGGGAGGCAG